AAAAAAUGAAGUUAAAUGAAACUCUCUCUGCAACAUUGGAUAAAACCUUUUGCUGUUUCUUGCUGAGCCCACCUGGCUGAUGCCAUCAGGGAAAGACAAAUCACAGCAGAUGAAGACUGUGACUUUCAGGGGAUAAAUAAGGGAAACAGAAAACCUCUUCAUUCAAGAGAAGUCAUGAUUUGAAAGUGUGUUAUGAAUGCUUCACCAUCAAGGACUCUGUGGAGGAGGGAAUGGAGGACAGUGUUUUUAGAAACUGUGACCUCUGGGCAAGCCUCACUUUAAACAAUGGAGAAAUUGAGGUGUGGAGGGACCACACAGAGGCCAACACCCUGCACGGGGCGAGACUCAAUGGCAGAAACGUGGUUAAAAUGACUGAUGGAAUUGAUCGGGCUAAGUCAUUCUCUACGUUUCACUUUCAAAUGUUUCAAAUCAUGAAGACUGCUUGACUGGCUGUUGGCUUUGUGCUAUGAAGGCACAGCCAAGGAAGGGGUGAGCUGCCUUUUUCUUUAGACUUGGUAAAGCCAGGAAGGCAGAUGAAUGAGGGGAAGAAGUCAUACACACACUGUUCACUUUGCAGCUGUAUUUAUCUGGCGGUUCAGUUUGCCAGUUCAAGGGGGAGAAGGACCAUUGGGGAAGGGAGGGGUGGGGAGGAGAAACUCUAAGGGCAAAUUACAAUGGGCAUUCUGAAAAGACAGUAACGUUUUCUUUUUCUAUGACAUUUAAAACCCAGACUUGAAUUCUUUAUUCAAUUAAAAACACCCACUAAGGUCAGGCAAAAUUUAACCAUGUAAUGCAGGAUGCUGGCCACCUUUUGGGGAGGAAAAACCACUUCCUGGCUCCAGAACUGGAUCUGAGGAGGGACCUGGGGAGAUUAAGGCAGGUUGCUACACUGAAGUCUUGAGAGCCUGAAGAGGAGGCCCUAUUGCUGUUAAUGCUUCCCAUCCUACCCUCCAGGAAGCCCCAGGGAGUGCAGAGAUGGAAGCAGGAGGUGGAAGCUUAGGAGUUUCCACCAUCUUGGAGGCCUUCAGAUAGGUAUGGCCACCCACCUGUGGAUCACAAUGGGGACCCUGGGGAGAGGGGCUUGGAAAGGAUUAAAGCAGAGUUGGAAGGAGGCCCAGGGAAGCCAGGAUGCCCAGCUGAGGCAGGCUCAAUGCCCAGUCUGCAGCUGAGCUCUGCAGUUUGCCAGCCAUAUGACCAUGGGCCGAUUUAACCUACCUAAGUCACAAUUUUCUCCUCUGUAAAAUGAGGAUAAUAGUAUGUAUCACAGAGUCAUUAAUUUUUUUUUCUUAUUUUUUUAUUGCAUUUUAGGUUUUGGGGUACAUGUGCAGAGCAUGCAAUACAGUUGCAUAGGUACACACAUGGCAGUGUGUUCUGUUUGCUUUCACCCCUUCACCCACAUUUGGUGUUUCUCCCCAGGCUAUCCCUCCCCACCUCCCCCUCCCACUGGCCCUCCCCUUUUCCCCCCAAUAGACCCCAGUGUUUAGUACUCCCCUCUCUGUGUCCAUGUGUUCUCAUUUUUCAUCACCCGCCUAUGAGUGAGAAUAUGCGGUGUUUCAUUUUCUGUUCUUGUGUCAGUUUGCUGAGAAUGAUGUUCUCCAGAUUCAUCCAUGUCCCUACAAACGACACGAACUCAUCAUUUCUGAUUGCUGCAUAAUAUUCCAUGGUGUAUAUGUGCCACAUUUUCCCAAUCCAGUCUAUCAUCAAUGGGCAUUUGGGUUGAUAGAGUCAUUAAUUUAACAUGAUAAUGUAUCUAGAAGUGCUUCUUGUGCAGUCUGAUACGUGUGAAAGAUCCAUCAUCAUCAUCAUCAUCAUCACCAUCAUCACCAUCAUUCUCAUCAUGGUUGCAACAGGACUUGAAUUCUGAACAUGUGACUCCUGGGACCUGGGAAGCAAAGCUCUCAAAUGAAAAUGCGGUUAGCUGAAGCAUAUAUUCAUUUUGGGAAGCAGGCACUUCUGAGCAGGAUGAUACACUGUGGCCUGGUCAAGGGUGUAACCAUGGUAAGGAAACAAGUUGCCUCCUGGAAAAAAGAAAUCUCACCAGUUUGCAUGAGAGUAGGAGCACCGAUGCUUGGCCCAAGGACAAGGUCCAGAGGUGGAGAAGAUUAAGGUGGCUGUGAAUACAGGAUGAAGACCUUUUUCAGCCUACUGCCCUUAAGUGUGUGUAAGUUCCAAGAGAGUAAGAGAAAUCUUUCCUGUACCAGAGUGGGAGUUCUCUCUAGUGUGGUGGACACCGUUGCAUGGCAUGGAGGUGCUCUAAGCAACUAUGCACUCUGCAAUGGUGGCACCAGGAGCUGCUGAAGAGGUAAGACAAACAAUGCUCCUGUCCAGGCCGGGGGAUCAGACCAAAGUCAUGGAAUUUUUCACCAGGAGCAGCUCAGCCUUGGUGGCCCAGCAGCAGUGACAGCCCUGCAGACAUCAAAGGAACUGGGAAACAAUCCCAGCAGAGAGGCAGGGCAGAAGAGAAGGAAAAUGAGGGACAAGGUACGAUGUUUGGGAGCACAUGUACAGUGUUCCCUGGGCAUCCUCAGAAAGACUGGAAGGGGGUCCUCGGCUGGGGGUUUCUGGUGGUUCUGGAAGAGCUGUUGAAAGCAGAGUAAGAAAGGAACAGCAUGUGCCUGGUUAUGAUCCCAGUUUUCCCCUCAGGCUGGUGUGGUGGCCUAGGAAACACACAUUGUGCAAGUAAACAAAUCACUAUUGGGAGGCUUAAAAGAUCAAGCAUGGCCUUGCCUCCUUUUACAAACACUCAGACAUGCAAACUGGUGUCAUUUUAAGCAGCUUUCUCAACAGAGCAGGGUAUGCAAAACUGCAUGUCAGAUAUGAUAGUGGGUCCAGACGUCAAUAUCAACCUAGUGAGUGCAAGUAGAAUUUGAAAAGUAAAAUCAUUUUGAAUAAAAAAUUAGAGCAUAUUGCAUCAGUAAGGAUAACUAUUGCCUUGUGAAGCCUUUGUUUCCAUUCUUUGUGUAUGUAUGUAGGCACAAUUUUGAUAUAAAUUGUGCUUCUUUCAGUUUACAACCAAAAAAAAAAAAAAAGAAAGAAAGAAAAAGAAAGGACGGAAAACUGCUUUAGAGGAUGCUGAAGAUCCUUUCCCAAUCCAGGAGUCCAAAAUGGCAGGGAAAUGAUCUUGACUCCAAUAAAUUUCACUUACUGGUUGAAGUUAGCAAUUAGACUUGUUGGAAUAUUGUUUCUGUUCUUCACUGGCUGUGUGAACUUGGGCAAGUUGCUUAGCUUCUCUGUGCCUCAUUUGCAACAUUAAUAAAGUAAAAAUAACAAUACUAUUUCUGCAUUGUUGAUAUUAGGAUGAGUGACGAUGUACAUGAAGAGAAUGUUGCAAAGUGGCAUUUGACUACUGAUAGUUCCACUGGAAAUAAAUGGGAAGGGGGUCAAGGGACGAUCUUUAAGAUUAUUUAGCAGUAGUAGGUCAUUAGGGCUCUUUGGUAGCAAGUGGCAGACACUGACUCUGCCAACAUAAGUGUAAAAGGACCUUGUUGCCUUGUUGAUAGAAUGACUCACAGAAUCCAAGGAGGGGUUGACUAAGCAGGAUUUGAAUGAAGGAACUUGUGAGAACUUGGGAAUAUAUGUGGCAGGAGCUAAUGGAUGAUGCGCUCUGACAGAUCUAGUCCAAUUUAUUCUUAUCCCCAUGGUCCUCCCCAAAAGAUAGAGUAUGAUGGACUGAGCUUGGGUCAGGCGCCCUGCCCAUUGGAGCACUUUGGGCAGGCAAUCUCACCAAGAUUGCGCAUGGUGGGAGAGAGGUGGUUCCAUGAAGGCAAGUUGGGUACUGCUGUCAGAGCAGAGAGAGCAGAGGCUGGGCAGGUGACAUCCAGGGACACUCAUUCGAGUAGGUGCACCAGGCUCUGAUAGCUAAUUUCAUUGACCUUUGCCCCUAACUCAACCUCAUGGUCUUAAAGAGAAAUGACCAGAAGACAAUUUAGACAGAUAUGAAUACUUUUGCCAAGGACAGCUAACCUCUGGUGUUCUAACUGUGGAAUCAGGGGAUUUUUGUCUCUUAUAGUAUAUGAGAAUAGAAAUUGGGCCAAGACAGGAGUUCAGAAGUAAUAAUAAUGAAAGCUGACUCUCAUAAAAUGCAUAUUAUGUGCCAGCUGCAAUUCUAAAGCACUUUACAUAUAUUGACUCACUUAAUCCUCAUAACAAUGCCAUGGGCUAGAUAUUACUAUUAUUUCCCCUAUAUUAGCAGAAAAGGAAACAGGGUCAGAGAUUAAGUUGUUGGCCCAUGGUCCUGAAUCUAGUGAGAGGUGGUGCUGUGAUCGAAACCAGGUGUCCUGGCUCUGACGUCCACAGCGUUAGCCACUGCUGGAUACUGCCCCUCUGAUGGGCUGUGUAGAAUGAGAGAUGCUGUGAGCUGAUUUGGAGCUGGUAGCGCCUCACUGGCUGGGCACUACUAUUGUACUACAAUUCCCAGCAUGCAACUGGGCUGGCUAUCAUCUUAACCCUUUCUUCACCAAAAGUUCCUCACUGUGUUGGGUAAAAUCUUUUUUAUUGGCAAAAUCUGAUCUCCCUCAUGGAUAGUUAUGCAAUUGAGGCAUAAAUGUAGAUAUAAGUGGCAGUAAAUAGUGAAGAGGGUAAGAUUCUAAGUUAAAAUAGCCUCCGUAUUUUUAGUAUUUGAAAUGACUAUGGGAACAAUUUUUUUUUGACUUAGAAAUGUAUACUAUGAAAUUGUCGAUGGGGAUGUUUUAAAGCACCCAUUCUCAAACUUGGCUACACUUUGGAAUCAUCUGGGGAAUUAAAAAAAAACAUCUUAAAGUUUGGGUCAUAUUUCUAGAGGUUCUGAUUUAAUUGGUCUGGGGUAUGAUAAAGAAUUCCCCAUGUAUAAAAGAGGAGGCAUAGCUUCUCAUAUAGUGGGGGCAUAUGAGGAAGCAUCAGGGCUGGUCAGGGGCCUGGGGGAGCAAGGGGAAAAUGCAGACAUUAUUGUGAUUUCUGCAGGAACGGUAAUGCAAGACAGGGUAAACAGGCUUUGAAUCAUUUCAGUGAGCUUUAGGGCAUAGGGACUGUUCCUAGUUGUCUGGUACCUGGCCCUGGGGUGAUUAGAGCAGGUGGAUGGUGGCCCUGAGAAAUAGCCCAAUAAAGGAAGUGGUUAGGGGUGACUCUAGAUUGGUUGGUUUGCAGCGGAAAGAUGCGCUCUCCCACGUGAGCCACUUACUGUCCCUCCGAGUUGGCUAACCCAGGGAGGGGCAGUCCCUCCAGGGUCAGCACAACCCCAGAUGUCACAGCAUCAGGAUACAGAAAAUUUAGAAACAUGUUUAAUAUACCCUUCCACUCUUCAGCAGAAAGCAGCUGACCAGGCUUAAAGAGAACUGGAAACAGCCUGAAGCCUCGGGAACCAUCCCUUAGGACUGGUGGACUGCAGGAAAGACAGCAGGAGGGCCAGUGAAACCAGGAGGAUUUCAGCCCUGGCCCUAUUUAGUUAACCAAGAUUCCAAACCUGUCACAGAAUGACACUCAGACAAAUGUGAAAAAAGGCGGCAAAUUCUUCUUUAGAAAGACUCCUUGCAGAGACAUCUGCACUCCCAUGUUUAUUGCAGCACUAUUCAUAAUAAUCAAGAUAGGAAAUCAGCUUACAUGUCCAACAACAGAUGAAUGGAUAGAGAAAAUGUAGCAUAUCUACACCAUGGAAUACUAUUUAGCCAUAAAAAAAAACAAUGAAAUCCUGUCAUUCAUGGCAACAUGGAUGUUGGAACUAGAGGACAUUAUGUUAAGUGAAAUAAGCCAAGAACACAAAGUUAAACACCACAUGUUCUCAUUCAUACAUGGAAGCUUAAAGAAGAUGAUCUCAUAGAAGAAAAAAGUAGAACAGAGGAUACUAGAGGCUGGGAAGGGUAGGAGAAGUGGGGGAGGGGAUACAGAGAGUUUUGUUAAAGGAUAUAAAAUUGCAGCUAGAGAGGAGAAAUAAGUUCUAGUGUUCUAUACCACUGCAGAAUGACAAUGGUUAACAAUAAUAUAGAGUUCAAAUAGCUAGAAGGAGUAUACUGAAUGUUCCCAACAAAGAGAAAUGAUAAAUAUCUGAGAUGAUGGAUAUGCUGAUCACCCUGACGUAUCAAAAUAUUGCUGUGUACCCCAUGCAUAUGUAUACUUACUAUUUGUCAAUUAAAAAAUAAAUUUUUAAGAAAGCCUCCUUGAAGGCAGUACCCACAAUUUAUUUCUUUCUAGGCCCUUGGUUAAAUGAUUGUUACCUAGGAGAAACAGUUAAAAUGGUCUUGUAAAAGAGAAAAGUUAGUUUAGAGCUGUGGGCUGGUACUUCACUCUUAAAAAAUAGAGUUUUUCUUAAUUUUUAUUACCAAAAUUAAGUAUGCUGAAUUUAUAUAUUACUAUACCUAUCUUCAGACUCAAGCAGAACCUGAAUUAGCCAUCGAUUGAAGGUUAUUGCUUAUGUCCCCAAGGGAAGAGCCUCCUCUGGCUCAUGCUGGUGGGAGAAAUUGAACCAGCUCUGCUUUCUCUCCCUGGUUUAAUUCUCAGCAAAGGAAAAACAAUAUAAUUUUCAAUGAUGUUGACAAUGACAAUGAUAACAACAAUAACCAACCUUUAACACAUCCUUGUAAUGUGCCAGGCUCCAUUGUAGGUGCAUUAGAAUCAUUACCUCAUUUAAUCCUUGUAACAUAGUUUGGUUAAUUUGCCCCCAUUUUUUAUAUGAGCAAACUGAGGCAUGGAGAGGCUAAGCACCUUGCCCAAGAAUAAGAGUCUGCACUGGCUUAAAAGUGAGGCAUUCAGACAUUAGCGUCCAUGCUCUGAAUUGCUCCACAGCACCAUCUCCUUGUAUUGGAGUGAUUUCCUGGAGCAAAGGUGAUCUGAUCUUAUUCACACAGGGGCAGGCAAUAACUGCCUGAGUACAGAACUCCUAUGAGGCGAAUGGUAUUGGAACCCUGAGCUAGUCUAGUUACAUAACUAGCAUAACCCUUGGAAAAGCUGUCACAUAAGGGAAGGCUGCCUCUGGGACUAGAAGAAAGAAUAUGCCAAGAUCUCCUUCUGCAAUGGAUGAGCUGUUUGACCUUGGGCUGAAGCCUUCACAUUUAGGGUCUGAUUUUGCAAGGAAGUUCUUGGGCUGGGUGAUCUCUGGAGAUCCUGUCAUGUAAGCAGCCCCCGCCAGCACUCCUACUGGGGAGUGAUUACCGUAAAGACAAGGAAAGUGGUAAGCAAGUUCUUGCACCUCCCAAAGUAAGUAGCAAAUAGCUGUUUGGGUGUCCUGAGGAGUUCUGAAAACAUUGGGCCUAGUUGCCUCCUGCUUCAUCUUGCACCAUAUGCCUGAAGCUACUGAAUGAAUAAACAUCACUCGAGGCUAUUUCUGGAUGCUCAAGAAACUUUGAAAAAAGAAAGAAAUGAUUAUUUAGUGAGGAGAGUAUUAUAGAAGACCCAGGAGAAGACAUGGUAGGGAGGAGAGUGAGGAUUCUCAUUGUUUUGAUCCUUGAAUUCUCUUUAGGUGGACUGGAAAUGCUAGACUUCCCGUUGUUGGACUGGAAAUGCUAACACCCUGAAACUCUUAGGACCUCUGUGUGAAGAACUGUCCUGCCCCAAAUGCUCUUAGGAGUAAAAGAGUUUCUCACAGUGGAAACACAGCAAACCUCUUUGUGCAUUUUUCUGAACAUCAAUCAAUAAUCCAUUAACUUGGGGGAAGCUGAAUGCUCUUCAUACAGGAAUCCAAAAUAAAUUGACAGCUAUCCUCUGGCAAGAACUGUAGAAAGGCUGUAUAGGCUUGGACAAAGCA